AUAAUAAAUAAUAAUAAUAAUAUAUACCUUUCAGCGUGGGAAGAAGUGGUGUUGGUGUCACCGCAGCGAACUUCACAUGUUGCGACCUCCUACUGCUUGGAUAGGCUGAUUAAGUCCUGAAUUGAACUAACAUUUUAAAAUAUGAAAGAUACAAGAAACAACAUUCAACCAUUAUAUUAUAUAAUGAUUAAAAAUGAAGUCAUCGCUCUAUAACGCCAUCUAUUGUGAACCAUUUGCAAGAAGCCGAGAUGCUUUUCAGAUUUAUUUUAACGUAAUCAAUUAGAAACAUGACAGUAAUGUAUGCCGGCAAAGAAUGGUACAGAGAUGAGAAGACUGGAGCCAUAACAGACCAAGAUGAUAAGAACAUUGGAAAACAAACCUGCUGCUGCAAUCGUGUGAUUCCUCUCAUCCAGAGAAUCUGACCACGUCUCAAUUCGGCACGCGACUCUGACCGGCUGACAUCUACUUGGUCACCU